ensembl:lncRNA
CUCGACUCAGUCCUCAGAAAAGACCCUGGUCCAUGAAGUCCAAAGUCCAGAUCAGGAUCCCAACCAGGACUCUCCUCUGAAGACUGGACCUAUCUCCAAGGCAGCCACACGACUAACCACGCCCCCUGAAGAGUCAGCUCCUGCUCCCUCUCAGAACAGGUUCCCCGUUUCAACCCCAAGUCCGAUCCUGGAGCCAAAUGGGAUUGCGGCUGGAACAUACCAGACGACUCCACCCCCAGACACGCCUCCAGGAAGUGUUUACAGACAGGCCACGCCCACAGGAAGUGCACAGAGACAGGCCACACCCACAGGAAAUAUACAGAGACAGACCACGCCCCCAGGAAGCAUUUUCAGACAGGCCACACCCCCAAACAGCACCCUGACCCGAAACAGCGUUCGAGAACAAGUCCAGAACUGGGUCAAAAUCCAGAGAGAUGACCGUCGAGACAGUCUCAGACGGACUCCUCCAUCUCAGUUCAGCCCCAUUGAGCCCCCCCUCCAGUACAACGCCCCUGGUGGUCGUGUGGGGGAGUACCGUUAUGCUCAGGACCGCCUCUCUCACUUUGGUCUGUGCGACUCUGCUGCUCCGCCUUCAUUUUGGCGUCUUUACGAGUGGCAGCAACGGCAUCAGUAUCGCCAUGGCAACCCCACAGCACCACUCUACAGCCCCGCCCCCCUACACCCCUAUGGACCACGCCCCCUG